GUCUCUACUGUGUAUAAAACACUCAGUAUCGGUGACAUUUGCCUCUUCUCUUAGUGAUAAAAUACAUUUAUUUGUGAAGUAGAUCUUAAUCUAUCUCAGAAAAGUGUUUUUAGUUUUUCACAGUAGCAUUUAUAAUGAUUGAAAGUGUAGGCUAGAGAGGACAUCUUUCUGUAGCAACGAACAAAAAUAAGAAUAACUUUUCAGCAUUACCGUAUAUCAAUAGCCAAUUAUUUUUGUAUGGAUGGGUUCUGGCUGGCCGGUAAUGGACUGACAAUGAGAUAAGUCUUCCAGGAGAGAAACCAUCAUUUUAAAGAUGGAGUGGCUGGCCUUUUAAUUUUAAGGUAUUACCAAAAUCACACCUUUCACCUUUAAAAAUUGUAAAUGAUCAGAGUCUUGUUCUAAAUCAUUUAAUUGCUGUUUGAACUGAGCCUGGCUCAUGCUUUGCAGGGGUUUGUCUUUCUUAGCACUGAUGGUGUCAUUUACAUUUCUUAAUUUUUCUUGAAGAACGACAUCCUCCUUGCUUGUACUCUCCCUCCCAGCCUGCUUGCUGGCCAUCUGUCUGCAGAGGCAAUUUAAGGAAUCUGUAGCCAAUUCACCCUUGCUCAUAUGUAUUUCUUGAACUUGAUAUACAGCGUAGAUAUGCACAGGCGUAAAGUAAAACCUAUUAAGCAAUGAGAUAAAACACAAAGAUGCUUUAGAAAACUUUUUCAAAUGUUUCAGAUGAGGCAGGCUCACAUUUCUUGCUGGUUUUUCUUCUUUUUUGGUGCAUAUUUUUUCAUCGUCACCUGUUCCAUUCAUCUGCCUCUUUCUCUCUGACUCGGGGAGUUUUGACGACGUGGAUUAGGAGUCCCGUACCUCUGACCGACUGCCUACUUCUCUGCUGUGCAGCCUGCGUCAUAACAGCUCUGCUAAAGCUCCUCACUUUAAACUUCCUCUUGAAAACAAGCUUGAAAGAAAGAUCACCAUAUGCUCCAGAAUGCGCACCAAGACUUUCCCAUGACUCGACUGUACGUGCAAAUAGCUGAGGAGCUUGGGAUAAAAUCUAAGCACCUUAUUAUUAUCCGUGCCCAUGGAUCAAAGUGCUUUCUUGUCUUCAGAUAAACACUGUCCACUGGCUUUGAUGAUCUCUCUUGUGCAGCUGGGAGAAGAGACCAACAAAAUAUCCAGAGACAGGUAAAUUGAGGAAAACAGGUGCCGUUCCCAAAGCCGCAAGUUUGGUCAAUGGCCAUGGGACCUGUUCACGCCGGUCCCGCCGUUAGCCCUACAGUCAGCCUUGCGUGUCUGGUUUCCCAGGGCAAUGGAGAUGGAGGGAGCUGCUGAAAGUCGCCACGUCUAUUUUAAUUCAGCUACGAAGGCAGGGAUGAAGCGCUGCAAUCCAGCAUCCAGCAUUUGCAGGCACUUACCAAACAGAGCAAUCGUUUACUAAAACACGAUGAAGAUGGAGAAGGACGGGUCACCAAGGGCAGCAACUACCUAGAUGUGGGCCUCCACCCAUUUUGACCACCCGAAGGACAAGCCACUGCUGCGGAGGCUCGUCCAUAGACAUCCCAGCUGGUAAUGACACGGGAGAACAGCACCCGCAGAAAACUCCUGCGUGUCUGCAGCUCUUGACCUUGGCCCUCUCCAUUUGCUGCAUCUUGAAUGGAGGGUUGCGGUUAGAAAAGUUCAAGUCUGAGCUCCAUGUCAGCUUUUCAGAGCAGCCUCUCGGUGUGCUAAUGCUGUACGCUGAGAGCAGGCUUUAAAUACGUGUGUGUUUGUAUGAAGAUGACCACAUUAAAUUUAAGCAGAAGUAAAUGGUAAUUUAACUGGCACAGAUACACAAGGCUGACAUAAUCUCUGAAGGUUUGAGGCUGCUAUUAAAUUUGUUCCUCCUUAUUAAUUUGUGACCAAGAGGAUAAUGAAAAACUGGCAACUCUAAAGUUGACAUAAAAAGUAAGAGAUAUACAGUUGGCAUGGAUAAUUUUAUGCGCUGUCAAAGUAAAAAGGCUUUGCUAAAUGUAUGUAGACAAAGAUACACACUGUCAUCUUAAUGAGCAAUUAAAAGAUGGACUCCUAAUAAUUGAA